rnacentral:rRNA from 1 species
AACGAACGCUGGCGGCAUGCCUAACACAUGCAAGUCGAACGAGACCUUCGGGUCUAGUGGCGCACGGGUGCGUAACGCGUGGUAACCUGCCCUUAGGUUCGGAAUAACUCCCCGAAAGGGGUGCUAAUACCGGUUAAUGUCUUCGCACCAAAGAUUUAUCGCCUUUGGAUGGGCCCGCGUUGGUUUAGCUGGUUGGUAGGGUAAAAGCAUACCAAGGCGAGGAUCCAUAGCUGGUCUGAUAGGAUGAUCAGCCACACUGGGACUGAGACACGGCCCAGACUCCUACGGGAGGCAGCAGUGGGGAAUAUUGGACGAUGGGCGAAAGCGUGAUCCAGCCAUGCCGCGUGAGUGAUGAAGGGCUUAGGGUUGUAAAGCUCUUUUAGCCGGGAUGAUAAUGACAGUACCGGGAGAAUAAGCUCCGGCUAACUACGUG